CUACUAUAACCAUGACCGUGAAGAGGCAGUCUCAGAAGCAGCCCUACUCUUCCUAACCAGAUACUGACCGAUUUAAUCUUCACAACAAUCCAGUGGUGUGUCAUUUUCCAUCCACUUUACAGAAGAGGAAACUGAAGGAAAGAGCUGUUAACUUAAAUCCUCAAGGUCAUACCGCUGUGUCUUGCCCACCAAAGUCCAUGAAGGAAGAAACUGUUUAUUUCUGUCUCUGUCAGACAGCCUAGCACAGAGC